UAAGACGCGUGUGAGAUCUGAGUGAGGGAGAAGUGAGCUAGUGAUGAAUAGGAGAGAGAGCAAAGGGACGCGUGUCCGUGUGAAAGGUGUGGUUUUCUUAAUUUAUUUCUUUUUCCUUUUCUCAUGCAUGAGAUUGGAGAGAGAGGGUGAGGUGGCCACGUGUGAGGUGGAGAAGAGGUUUUAUUCCUUUCGUUUCUUUGUAACCGUUGAGAGAGAGAAGAGUGCCAG
rnacentral:lncRNA from 1 species